rnacentral:rRNA from 1 species
GUCGAACGAUGAUGCCCAGCUUGCUGGGCGGAUUAGUGGCGAACGGGUGAGUAAUACGUGAGUAACCUGCCCUUGACUCUGGGAUAAGCCUGGGAAACUGGGUCUAAUACUGGAUACUACCUCUUGCCGCAUGGUGGGUGGUGGAAAGGGUUUUACUGGUUUUGGAUGGGCUCACGGCCUAUCAGCUUGUUGGUGGGGUAAUGGCUCACCAAGGCGACGACGGGUAGCCGGCCUGAGAGGGUGACCGGCCACACUGGGACUGAGACACGGCCCAGACUCCUACGGGAGGCAGCAGUGGGGAAUAUUGCACAAUGGGCGGAAGCCUGAUGCAGCGACGCCGCGUGAGGGAUGACGGCCUUCGGGUUGUAAACCUCUUUCAGUAGGGAAGAAGCGAGAGUGACGGUACCUGCAGAAGAAGCGCCGGCUAACUACGUGCCAGCAGCCGCGGUAAUACGUAGGGCGCAAGCGUUGUCCGGAAUUAUUGGGCGUAAAGAGCUCGUAGGCGGUUUGUCGCGUCUGCUGUGAAAGCCCGGGGCUCAACCCCGGGUCUGCAGUGGGUACGGGCAGACUAGAGUGCAGUAGGGGAGACUGGAAUUCCUGGUGUAGCGGUGAAAUGCGCAGAUAUCAGGAGGAACACCGAUGGCGAAGGCAGGUCUCUGGGCUGUUACUGACGCUGAGGAGCGAAAGCAUGGGGAGCGAACAGGAUUAGAUACCCUGGUAGUCCAUGCCGUAAACGUUGGGCACUAGGUGUGGGGGACAUUCCACGUUUUCCGCGCCGUAGCUAACGCAUUAAGUGCCCCGCCUGGGGAGUACGGCCGCAAGGCUAAAACUCAAAGGAAUUGACGGGGGCCCGCACAAGCGGCGGAGCAUGCGGAUUAAUUCGAUGCAACGCGAAGAACCUUACCAAGGCUUGACAUUCACCGGACCGCCCCAGAGAUGGGGUUUCCCUUCGGGGCUGGUGGACAGGUGGUGCAUGGUUGUCGUCAGCUCGUGUCGUGAGAUGUUGGGUUAAGUCCCGCAACGAGCGCAACCCUCGUUCUAUGUUGCCAGCACGUGAUGGUGGGGACUCAUAGGAGACUGCCGGGGUCAACUCGGAGGAAGGUGGGGAUGACGUCAAAUCAUCAUGCCCCUUAUGUCUUGGGCUUCACGCAUGCUACAAUGGCCGGUACAAAGGGUUGCGAUACUGUGAGGUGGAGCUAAUCCCAAAAAGCCGGUCUCAGUUCGGAUUGAGGUCUGCAACUCGACCUCAUGAAGUCGGAGUCGCUAGUAAUCGCAGAUCAGCAACGCUGCGGUGAAUACGUUCCCGGGCCUUGUACACACCGCCCGUCAAGUCACGAAAGUUGGUAACACCCGAAGCCGGUGGCACUAACC